UAAAAUCUGUUGGUCUACGUAUCCAGAUUAGACCAAAUUAAUACCAUAUCCAUAAUUGCCUGUUACUUCGAAUCAAACUGAUCUUCUGAAUCUUCCGAACUUCUGAUUUUCAUCAUAAGUUUUUGGGAUUGUGACUGAAGUUUUUGUUUUUGUGGAUGUAGAGCUUUGGUUGAGCUUCUGGAGUGAAGUACACUAUAAUUCAUUGUAUGCAAGUGGAGACGUUCCUUCUAGAGCACCGAGAAAAAAGCACUGGCUUUUUUAGAGUUAUCACCUGCUCAAGAUCAUUUAUUUUCUGUACCUAUUCCAUCUCCAUGCUAGAAACUCAGUAAUUGUUUAACAUGACUUCCAGAUUCGAUCUCUUUUCAAUACUUUAGUUGAAAUUUACUUGUCAGAAAUUUGUAUAUGAAUGACGUGUGAUAUUAUAUGCACCCUUUGCUUAUCGUUUUAUACCCAUUAAUCCUAGAAGCAUGCGGGAGUCAAAUUUUUCA